rnacentral:rRNA from 1 species
GACGGAGGAUGCAAGCGUUAUCCGGAAUGAUUGGGCGUAAAGCGUCUGUAGGUGGUUCGAAAAGUCCACUGUUAAAAAUUGAGGCUUAACUUCAAAGAUGCCGUGGAUACUUUCAAACUAGAGUAUGGUAGGGGUAGAGGGAAUUUCCAGUGGAGCGGUGAAAUGCGUAGAUAUCGGGAAGAACACCAGUGGCGAAAGCGCUCUACUGGGCCAUAACUGACACUGAGGGACGAAAGCUAGGGGAGCGAAAGGG